rnacentral:tRNA from 1 species
GAGAUCUAUACGUGAACUGCUAAAUCACCCUGCCGAGCCUAAACACCCGGAUUUCUC